GAUGAACGCUGGCGGCGUGCCUAAUACAUGCAAGUCGAACGCGCAGCGAAAGGUGCUUGCACCUUUCAAGCGAGUGGCGAACGGGUGAGCAACACGUGGAUAACCUGCCUCAAGGCUGGGGAUAACAUUUGGAAACAGAUGCUAAUACCGAAUAAAACUUAGUAUCGCAUGAUACAAAGUUAAAAGGCGCUACGGCGUCACCUAGAGAUGGAUCCGCGGUGCAUUAGUUAGUUGGUGGGGUAAAGGCUUAACAAGACGAUGAUGCAUAGCCGAGUUGAGAGACUGAUCGGCAACAUAGGGACAGAGACACGGCCCAAACUCCUAAGGGAGGCUGCAGUAGGGAAUCUUCCACAAUGGGCGCAAGCCUGAUGGAGCAACGCCGCGUGUGUGAUGAAGGCUUUCGGGUCGUAAGCACUGUUGUAUGGGAAGAAAUGCUAAAAUAGGGAAUGAUUUUAGUUUGACGGUACCAUACCAGAAAGGGACGGCUAAAUACGUGCCAGCCGCCGCCGUAA
rnacentral:rRNA from 1 species